UACGGGGGGGGGCAAGCGUUUGUUCGGAAUUACUGGGCGUAAAGGGCUCGUAGGCGGCCAACUAAGUCAGACGUGAAAUCCCCAGGCUCAACCUGGGAACUGCGUCUGAUACUGGAUGGCUUGAAUCCGGGAGAGGGAUGCAGAAUUCCAGGUGUAGCGGUGAAAUGCGUAGAUAUCUGGAGGAAUACCGGUGGCGAAGGCGGCAUCCUGGACCGGCAUUGACGCUGAGGAGCGAAAGCCAGGGGAGCAAACGGG
rnacentral:rRNA from 1 species